GGCAUCCUGUCCUCCUGACCAGGUGAAAACCAACUUCUGCUGGGAAGGAGCAUGGGGUGGUGCCUGGCCUUUGGAGUCAGGAAGAACCAGGCUUAAGUAACAGAACUGCCUGACCUCCAGCUUGUCACUUCAGCUCGCAGGGUGCUAGGUGCUGUUUCAGGUCCCAGUACACAGCACAGAGUGCACAGCAGGCCCCCGCGGAGGAUCAACACAGUGGCUGAACACCAGGAAGGAACGGGCACUUUAAGUCUGCACAUCUGAAACUUGGUAAGGCUAGUCUUUGGAACUUGCCUACUCCAUUUGAGUGGAAGCGUGGCCUGAUCAUCCACGGCGUGCCUGUACUGGCACUUUGGUUUUUGUUUUUGACUUGACUUGAAUUGUUU
rnacentral:lncRNA from 10 species